CGACCGGCGCACGGGUGCGUAACGCGUAUGCAACCUACCUUUAACAGGGGGAUAACACUGAGAAAUUGGUACUAAUACCCCAUAAUAUCAUAGAAGGCAUCUUUUAUGGUUGAAAAUUCCGAUGGUUAGAGAUGGGCAUGCGUUGUAUUAGCUAGUUGGUGGGGUAACGGCUCACCAAGGCGACGAUACAUAGGGGGACUGAGAGGCUAACCCCCACACUGGUACUGAGACACGGACCAG
rnacentral:rRNA from 1 species